rnacentral:rRNA from 1 species
AAUAAGCGGAGGAAAAGAAACCAACAGGGAUUGCCUCAGUAACGGCGAGUGAAGCGGCAAGAGCUCAAAUUUGAAAUCUGGCUCCUUCCGGGGCCCGAGUUGUAAUUUGCAGAGGAUGUUUCGGGUGCGGUACCGGCCUAAGUUCCUUGGAACAGGGCGUCAUAGAGGGUGAGAAUCCCGUAUGCGGCCGGCCUCCAAACCCAUACGAAACCCCUUCGACGAGUCGAGUUGUUUGGGAAUGCAGCUCAAAAUGGGUGGUAAAUUUCAUCUAAAGCUAAAUACCUGCCAGAGACCGAUAGCGCACAAGUAGAGUGAUCGAAAGAUGAAAAGCACUUUGGAAAGAGAGUUAAAAAGUACGUGAAAUUGUUGAAAGGGAAGCGCUUGCGACCAGACCUGUCCGCGAGACGUUCAGCGGGUGGUUCUCCACCGUGCACUCGUUCGCGAUCAGGCCAGCAUCGGUUCCGGCGGUCGGAAAAAGGCCUGGGGAAUGUAGCUCCUUUCGGGGAGUGUUAUAGCCCCUGGUGAUAUACGGCCAGCUGGGACCGAGGACCGCGCCUUCGGGCAAGGAUGCUGGCGUAAUGGUCGUAAGCGGCC